rnacentral:lncRNA from 10 species
AAGUUCAGGAGCGACGGUCCGCGGGGUCGUCUGGCUGCUCGUAGAAGCCGAGAGAUUUGUAUUGCCCGAAACUGGACGCUCAGCUGAGUCUCCGUUGCACCCCACUUCAUCCUCCGGGACCGUGGGGGAAAGGGCGCGGGGGUUCACAGCUUUGCCUCGGAGGGGCAGUUUUUAUAGUGGGCGCAAUUGGUGGGUAACAGGGUCCAGAUGGGAACAAGCGUGUAGGCGAUCCGAAACUCGGGGAACCCCGGUGUUAGUCUACUCCCCCUCCCGCCCCCGGACAACACGCACACGCUUAACACAACACGCACAACAUAACGCGCGCGCGCGCGCACACACACACUCCAUCCGCGCCGAGUUGCUUCCGGGAAAACAAGCCCAGAAGGCGGCGGACACUCGCAUAAAGUCACGCAGUAGUACUCGGAGCCCGGGGUAGAACCUGGACUUCAAAUCUCUGCACUCCCGGCCGGGUGGUGGGCGCAUAUCCUGGGUAGCCUCUAGGAAGCGCUAGACACAUGGAACCAAGGCAGAUUCAGCCUGGCAGCUGGCAAGUCAUGGAGCACUGCCUGUCCAUCUGCGAGCUAACAACAGUCGCGCUGGAAGUCAACAAGGGAAAUGGAAAGGGAGAGACCCAGCCUCCACAGGGGCUCACGCCCUGGGACCUGUGCCAGUGUGAACAAGGUUUUCCGGCCCCAGGAAGCAGGCCUAAGUACUCUCAUUUCAUCACUGAGGAGCCUGAGACGUUCAGUCAUUGAUUGGACAGCCCUCACCAUUCAAGCCCUCCUUGGUUUACAGCAGCAGAAAGAGAGGCUCUGAAGGUUCUAGCCAGAGGAAGCUGCAGCCAGGCCUGGCAGUCUCCCCUGCUCCCUUCCACCAGCUUGGUUCCUGUUUCUGCUGGUCCUGGGAGCCCCCAGCAGAUGGACUGCCCUUAUCAGCCGGCUCCAGGCCAGAGGAGGAAUCCUCCGGUCACGUGUGGCUCUCUGGAGGGAGAGAGACCUCAUAAAUACAUACAGCCCACGCAGAGGAAGGGGGGAGGGUCAAGGGGAAAGAAACCUUGACAUUCUGGCGACUGGGCCAGGAUUAAAGUCCACCAGGCAUAGUCCUUAUUGGCUAUUUCUAUGAGGAAUCUCAAAUCCACAUGGCUUCCCUGGAUGACAACGCUGACUUUGACUAGCCCUGGGAUCUGGGGCAUUCCCAGUGUGCUGCUGGCUUGAUCCAGGCCUAAUCCUUUGCCCAGGACUGACCUUUCACAGUUUACAGAGCACUUUAUCUCCUGGCUCAGUGAAGUCUCACAGAACCCUCCAGAGAGAAGGGAGUUUAUCAUCACCCUCAAUUUACAGAUGAGGAAGCUGAGGCUGCGAUUGUAACUGAGCUCCAUGCCCCGGGCGAGCCAUCGUUCCUGCCUGGCGAAGUCCACAAUCCAAUAAGGAGGGAAGGUUGAAGGGAUGAAUCUCAACAGAAUUGUGCACAGUGAAAGAAGCCAAUGAAAGAAGAGUACAUAUUGUAUAAUUCCAUUUAUAGAAAACUCUAGAAAAUGCAAGCUGAUCUACAGUGACAGAAAGCAGAUCCAUGGUUGUUUGGGGAAGUGAGGCAGAAGGAAAGGAUUCAGAGAAGCACAAGGAACCUUUUAGGGUGGUAGACAUGCUUACUAUCUGGUACUGAGAGUUUCUCAUGUCUGCACGUAUCUAAUUGUACACUUUAAAUACACACAGUUUAUUGUAUGUCAAUUAUAUCUCCAUAAAGCUAUUUAAAAAGAGGAACGUAAGUGGGGAAAAGAAUGAAGGAAGUUGGCUGGCGUAUAAUUAAGUAAGUCUGUGAGCAGUCUUAAAGUGGGGACACAAAGUACCAUGGGCACGUAAGAGAAGAAGGUAGAGAUUCAUUCCCAAACGGAAGAGAUCAGGAAGGAGUUCUUAGAACAGGGUUUCAACAAAGCUCAAGGUAUGGAUAAGUAAGGGUCAGGUUAAGAAAGAUUCAGAUGGAAGAUACAGAUAGAGUUUAUUUGGGAAAUAGAGAGUGGAGUAUUAUACACACGCACAAUUCGCCUUUUUACCCAAGUUUUGAAGGACUGAAGUUAAAACUAACAGCAACUAUCCUCUCUUUUCUUCAGAAAUUCAGACACAUGCCCUACUUGGCAGGCAGCUAGUUUUGCUAAUAAGAUUCCUGCCCUUCUCCCUCCCUCUCUGUGCAUCUCAUCCCUUCGGUCCCGCUGAGGCCCCUACCCUCUCGGAUUUCCUCUUUGAACUGAACUGCCAAAUACUUGCCAGCUUCCAGGGCCCUGAGUACCCACAUUUCAGCCUCUUCCAAACCCCAGAGUAAGAAGGAGAUUUGGGGAGUUCUGGGUGGGCAUGUGAUGGGAGACUAGGUCCAACAUAAAAAGAUAUUUCCCUUUUUCUUCCAUACUUUUUGGCUUAGUAAUUGACAUGUGACCAUUGGAGAAUUUUGAAUAGUUUAUUAGAAUACAUUGUGAUAGAGAAGAAGGAAAUUCAAGAAUUGUUACAAUGUUGUACACUGAUUAACUGGCUAAUUUGCUGCAAAACCAAUUCUGAUCACUGCUCUUAUGGUUUGUAAUACAUUAUUUUGGGUUUGGAUGAUCCUGUUAUUCAUAGCUUUACAUAAAGAAAUAUUCCAAUGACAUAUGAAACCCAUAUAUGAAAUUGUGGGUUAGCUCUUGCUUUCAAUUUUGUAUUAUGUUUGUUGAUUUUAAACUGUCUCCUUUCAAAAGUUUCCUUAUUAAUUAAAUAAACCACUCAGCCACAUUCCCCUCAUCUAACUCAGUACCCAAGUGUAAGCUCAAUUCUGGAGUCGCCUUUCCAACCUUGGCUUAAGGGACAUUAGUCACUAGGAACAAAACAUGGCAUUUGAACAGCUGUUUUGGGUAUUCAGAGUCCAAACCCUACAGGUCUGGAGAAGGUGGGGGUUGGGGGAAGGAAACCAAUAUUUACUUACUGAAUACCUACUCUGAGCCAGGCACUGGGGACUUCACAGAGAGUAUGUCUUUUAAUUUUCUGAACAGCUCAUUAAUGUGUUCUGCCUCCUCUAGGCAUAGCAAGGUUAAGAAUUUAUCAAAGAUCACACAGCUCAUAAGUGGUGGAGCUGGGACUUG